GUGAAGUUGAUCACAAGCAAACAUAUACCCCUUUGUUUGACCGUGAAAAAUUUCUCCCAUCCCCUUUGUUCGUGUUGAAAAAGGCCUUGCAUUUGCAAGGCCUUUUU
rfam:Bacillus shackletonii strain LMG 18435 super11, whole genome shotgun sequence.